UACGAGGGGGGCAAGCGUUGUUCGGAAUUAUUGGGCGUAAAGGGUGCGUAGGCGGUUUUGUAAGUCUUGUGUGAAAUCUUCAGGCUCAACUUGAAGACUGCACGAGAAACUGCAGGGCUUGAGUGUGGGAGAGGUGAGUGGAAUUCCUGGUGUAGCGGUGAAAUGCGUAGAUAUCAGGAGGAACACCGGUGGUGUAGACGGCUCACUGGACCGUAACUGACGCUGAGACACGAAAGCGUGGGUAGCAAACAGG
rnacentral:rRNA from 1 species